GCGUGUCGGGUUUGUAGAGAAGUUCAUCAGCGUCACCGCCAUUUGUGGCCUGGACUCAGAUUCUCCCCAGACCCCGAGGAUGCGGGGGAAGGGGCCCCCAACCUUCCUCCUGCUGCUCUCGGGGGCCCUGACCCUGACCGAGAACUGGGCAGGCUCCCACUCCCUGAGGUAUUUCUACACCGCCGUGUCCCGGCCCGGCCGCGGGGAGCCCCGCUUCAUCGCCGUCGGCUACGUGGACGACACGCAGUUCGUGCGGUUCGACAGCGACGCCGCGACUCCGAGGAUGGAGCCGCGGGCGCCGUGGGUGGAGCAGGCGGGACCGGAGUAUUGGGAAGAGCAGACGCGGGGCAUCAAGGACACUGCACAGAGUUUCCGAGUGGGCCUGAACAACCUGCACAGCUACUACAACCAGAGCGAGGCCGGGUCUCACACCCUCCAGGAAAUGUAUGGCUGCGACAUGGGGCCGGACGGGCGCCUCCUCCGCGGGUACAGUCAGUACGCUUACGACGGCGACGAUUACAUCGCCCUGAACGAGGACCUGCGCUCCUGGACCGCGGCGGACACGGCGGCUCAGAUCACCCGGCGCAAGUGGGAGGCGGCCGGUGAGGCGGAGAUCUACAGAAACUACCUGGAGGGCAGGUGCGUAGAGUGGCUCCUCAGAUACCUGGAGAUCGGGAAGGAGACGCUGCAGCGCGCAGAACCUCCAAAGACAUAUGUGACCCACCACCCCAUCUCUGACCGUGAGGUCACCCUGAGGUGCUGGGCCCUGGGCUUCUACCCUGCGGAGAUCACCCUGACCUGGCAGCGUGAUGGGGAGGACCUGACCCAGGACAAAGAGCUUGUGGAGACCAGGCCUGCAGGGGAUGGAACUUUCCAGAAGUGGGCUGCUGUGGUGGUGCCUUCUGGAGAGGAGCAGAGAUACACGUGCCAUGUGCAGCACGAGGGGCUGCCUGAGCCUGUGACCCUGAGAUGGGAACGGCUGCCUCAGCCCACCAUCCCCAUUGUGGGCAUCGUUGCUGGUCUGGUUCUCUUUGUGGUCACUGGAGCUGUGAUGGCUGGAGCUGUGAUCUGGAGGAAGAAGUGCUCAGGUAGAAAAGCGUAGAGCUACUCUCAGACUGCAGCGACAGUGCCCAGGGCUCUAAACUGUCUGUCAAGACAGCACAGGACAACUGCCUUGUGGGAAGUGAAUGAUGCAAGAUUUGUUCCCGUCCUACCUGCCAUUGUGACUUCUAGAACGUUUGACUUUUGUUUCUGCAAAGGGUGCCUGAAUAUGUCUGCAUUCCUAUUAACAUAGUGUGAGGAAGUGGGUAGACUGGUCUCCCCCGUGACCCCCUCCCACACUGACCUGUGUUCUCUUCCCUGAUUGACUUUCCUGUUCCAGCAGAGGUGGGUCUGGGCCAUCUCCAUCCCUGUCUUUACUUCAUGUUGCCCUGAGCUGCAGCUUCUUACUUCUUAAUUGCAAAUAAAGAUCUGUAUACAAG